GAGGGUACAGCUCAGUGGAAGAGUACAUGCCUAGCAUGCAUGAGGUCCUGGGUUCAGUCCCUGGUGCCUCCA
rnacentral:tRNA from 1 species